UUCGCUUCACAGCCUUUUGGCUAAGAUCAAGUUUAGUAUCUGUUCUCAUCGGUUUAAUAUCUGAUAUGUCCUCUGUAUGAGGACCACAUAUUAAAUAGAGUUUUACAACAGGGUGACGGAAUAGGGGCUCGCUCCGUCUGCUCCACGCAUCGACCUGGUGUUGCAGGACCUCCGGGAAUGGUGGACCUCCU
ensembl:snRNA U2 U2 spliceosomal RNA